rnacentral:rRNA from 1 species
GUCGAGCGAAUGGAUUAAGAGCUUGCUCUUAUGAAGUUAGCGGCGGACGGGUGAGUAACACGUGGGUAACCUGCCCAUAAGACUGGGAUAACUCCGGGAAACCGGGGCUAAUACCGGAUAAUAUUUUGAACCGCAUGGUUCGAAAUUGAAAGGCGGCUUCGGCUGUCACUUAUGGAUGGACCCGCGUCGCAUUAGCUAGUUGGUGAGGUAACGGCUCACCAAGGCAACGAUGCGUAGCCGACCUGAGAGGGUGAUCGGCCACACUGAGACUGAGACACGGCCCAGACUCCUACGGGAGGCAGCAGUAGUUGAAUCUUCCGCAAUGGACGAAAGUCUGACGGAGCAACGCCGCGUGAGUGAUGAAGGCUUUCGGGUCGUAAAUCUCUGUUGUUAGGGAAGAACAAGUGCUAGUUGAAUAAGCUGGCACCUUGACGGUACCUAACCAGAAAGCCACGGCUAACUACGUGCCAGCAGCCGCGGUAAUACGUAGGUGGCAAGCGUUAUCCGGAAUUAUUGGGCGUAAAGCGCGCGCAGGUGGUUUCUUAAGUCUGAUGUGAAAGCCCACGGCUCAACCGUGGAGGGUCAUUGGAAACUGGGAGACUUGAGUGCAGAAGAGGAAAGUGGAAUUCCAUGUGUAGCGGUGAAAUGCGUAGAGAUAUGAAGGAACACCAGUGGCGAAGGCUACUCUCUG